UACGAAGGGGGCAAGCGUUGCUCGGAAUCACUGGGCGUAAAGGGCGCGUAGGCGGACAUUUAAGUCAGAGGUGAAAGCCCUGGGCUCAACCCCGGAAUAGCCUUUGAUACUGGAUGUCUUGAGACCGGAAGAGGUAAGUGGAACUGCGAGUGUAGAGGUGAAAUUCGUAGAUAUUCGCAAGAACACCAGUGGCGAAGGCGGCUUACUGGUCCGGUUCUGACGCUGAGGCGCGAAAGCGUGGGGAGCAAACAGG
rnacentral:rRNA from 1 species